CUCCUGCAUGACGGAGGGUGAGUGAGGAGUGAGGAGUGAGUGGGAGCUUCCCGGACGGGCAGAUGUAACCCCAGAGCACAUGGAGCCUGCCCUCUCCACCUGUCUCAUCUGUGACUUUGCAGGAAGAUGGCCGACUUCAUCACAGCAUAACCAGAAGCAAACAGAAGUGCUCAUCUUCACGUUUCUCUUUGUGACGCAUCAAUGAAGGUGUCGAGCCCGUGAGGGACCCCACAGCGAACGGGAGCCAGUGGGACAUUCAGGACGUCGCUGUCUUACCUCCUGUUUCUGAGCCACGUCAGUCAUGGCUGCUGCGUUCUGACUCUCCGUCGGGACGAGACGUGACGAGACGACAGACGUCGAAACUCUGCCUGGCUGUGGGGAGGAGCUGUGGAGAGGAGCUGUGGGGAGGAGCUGUGGAGAGGAGCUGUGGAGAGGAGCACACAGCCUCGGUUAGGCACGACGGGAGGAAUGGUGACAGGGUGCCGUCCACACGCAAGCGCAUUCCUGUGGUCCGUCUCUCUGCUCACCCAGCGGCCCUGAAGGCUGCAGGUCCCUCUGUGUGAUGGUAAACACAGUGAGACUAUGUGCUCCUGACGGAGACGCUCCUCCAGAUUCGAGAAACAAAGUCGGGCUUCGCAGUAAACGUCCGGAGACUCUGCCUAUCCGACUGACCACAUCUCAGCACUGUGUUAUAAACGGCGUUGAAGCAAAAUGCCAUUCUCUACCUUUCCACACUUUUCCUCACAGUAAUAAAUGUUAAAAAGUGGUGUUAAAACAUUUUUGAUGUAAGUACAAUUACAUGUAAGUCUUUCUGAAUGUUCUUUCAUAUCCUAUCACAUUUACUGUGCAGUGAAAGCGUGGAUUAUAAAUAUUGCGGAUUAAAUGGAAGCUAUAGCUGUUC